GCGCAGAAUAAAAGCUUCGUAAAAUCAAAGCAACUCUCCUUAGAGAUUAUUCGGUAAAAUGACAUUAGAUAAAAAAGAAUGAAGAAUGUAAGAACUGCCUAUGUUUUUAAUUAGUGAUAGAGCAUGAGAUUCUUAACAUCUAAGACGUUUUUACGGGAACGUGCUUUGAUCAGACGCUUCAUUGAAAGCAUUUGUUGUGUAGGAAACUAUAUGAGUUCGGAAGAUGUUUUCCAUUAACUCAUUAGAUUGCAGUGUUCUUCGAAACGUACAUUUUUCUUGGAUUUUGUUGAGCAUUUUAAAAGAUGAGUUCAUUUUACAGUUUCUCAGACGCUGUGAUUCUGUACUGGACCAGUCCCCCACGCUUGAAAAUGCUUUGUGGACCCUUCUGAUCUUGGGAGAAGUGUAAUUACGUGAUUGUGUUUUUAACAUUUGACCCACUGUAACAUAAUGCAGAUAAAUCAAAUUGUGAAAUGUGUAUUUCAUAUAUAUCGGUUAAUAUUCCGAGAUAAUUAAUUACGAUUGUUUAGAUAAGGAAUAAUUUUCUAUUCACAUAGAAAAACUGAAAACGUUACACAGAUUGCAGUUUAAUGCAUCGGAACCAAAACUGUUCUGUUUUUAAUCACUUGCAAACUAGAUAAAAUGUUGAUGGUUUAUUUUCAUGAAUAUAAUUCAUUAAUAGCUCGUGCUGCAGUUUGAAAUAAUUUAACUCACUUUAAGCCUAAACUUGAAAAAAUGGAACAAUUUUCAAGAUAUCUGCGUCUGAUGAUAAAAACCUAUGUUUCAUUUCUUACGAGAAAAGAAGCGAUGUUCAUUGUAUAUGAAGCAAAAUUAUAUAGUGUAAUAUAAUUCUGAACCCAAAUAUAUUUUCAAGUUUCAAUUCAUCCACAAAUAUAUUCAACAUACGUUCAACAUGUUUAUGAUUUACGUGUUAUAUACUCAUACAUAACUAGAAUUAUAUUUUGAAUUAAAAUAGCUGCAGCAUUUAUUUCCCAUAGCGAAACUAGCUAAUUAUUCUAGUGAUAAUUUUUAAAUAAAUUUAAAGCCUUAUUGAUAAUUAAGUAAGUACUUUAUUCAAGUAAAAAAGAAGAAGAAAAUAUAAUACACCUUCUGAAAAACAUAUCCGAUCUUUAUUUUGUUCAGUCAUAAUCGGAAACGUGUAUCUGAGUGCAUUGUACAUUCUUUCAAAAAUGAUAAUUAAAAACUAUUCUGAAAACUGUGUAUUAUGCUUGAUUUUUAAAUAAAAUGUUCUAAUAAUAAUCAGUU